rnacentral:tmRNA from 1 species
GGGGGCGACAGGAAUCGAUCUGGCCUUUGAUCUGAUAGUGGCAUGUGGAGGUUGCCGGGAGGCCUCCUUAAACACCUGGCAAAACAUAAACGCUAAAAACACGAACCUAGUGCAUGUGCCCUUCGCAGGGCCCAUGGCGUUCCCGCUAGCCGCCUAAUAACGGCUACCGUCCGCUCAUCCUCGUCUGCGGGAUGAGGUCGGGCGUCGACAGCAGGCUUCCGCCGCAAAGUGCGGCGGAUCCGCCAAGUGCUUUGGCGGAGGUCGUCUCGGCGUGUCCUCGGCCGAGCGAUAAGACGCGCAGAGGGCUUACUCUUUGAAAUUGUGUCCGCUCAACGUUCAAAGAGGAAUCUAAAAACGGACUAAGCAUGUAGAGGCUACGGACCUCAACGGUUAGAGACGCGAGUUCGAAUCUCGCCGCCUCCACUC